UCAGAGUGCUGACUGACAGAGCUUUAGUAACGCUGCCAGCUGCUUCUGACUGGCAGAACUCCAGCUCAGACCGGCCCUCUGCUCUGAUGUCAGACUGACAUUUCUAGGUUUGGAUGUAAAGGAGGGAGGAAGUGAUGAACACAGACAGCAGCAGCGUCUGUCAGAGUCUGCAGACGGAGGAGGACGUCUCUCUGACCUGAUCUGGACGGGACUUUAACAGGUCGCCGUUGCAAAUGAGAACCUGUUCUCAACGGCCUACCUGGAUGAGUGAGUUUCUCCACCCACAACGUGACAACUACCUUUGCAAAGUGAGAGCAGCUGGGAUGUUAUGCAGAAUGGAAAAGUUGUUUAGCCGGGCUGUGGAUGCAGAAACUUUACACCUUGCCCAGAGCAGCAGCAGAGACCAGACUCUCCUGAACCUGAACCAGCUGUGUGUCCAUCAAGAGCCACCAGUCCAUGGAUCCACCUUAAGUGUUUAAAGGACAGCUUCCUGCAGAGACU